rnacentral:rRNA from 1 species
CUACGGGCGGCUGCAGUCGAGAAUCAUUCGCAAUGGGCGAAAGCCUGACGAUGCGACGCCGUGUGAACGAAGAAGGCCUUAGGGUUGUAAAGUUCUUUCGCUUGGGAACAAGAGGUGCAUGUUAAUAAUAUGCAAAUUUGAGGGUACCAGGUAAAGAAGCACCGGCUAACUCCGUGCCAGCAGCUGCGGUAAUACGGAGGGUGCAAGCAUUAAUCGGAUUUAUUGGGCGUAAAGAGCGCGUAGGCGGUUGGAUAAGUCGGAUGUGGAAAUUCCAGAGCUCAACUUUGGAGCUGCAUUCGAAACUGUUCAGCUUGAGGAUAGACGGAGAAAACGGAAUUCCGCAUGUAGCGGUGAAAUGCGUAGAUAUGCGGAGGAACACCGGUGGCGAAAGCGGUUUUCUAGUUUAUACCUGACGCUGAGGCGCGAAAGCAAGGGGAGCAAACAGGAUUAGAUACCCUCGUAGUC